rnacentral:rRNA from 1 species
GUGUCAGCAGCCGCGGUAAUACGGAGGGUGCGAGCGUUGUUCGGAAUUACUGGGCGUAAAGCGGGUGUAGGCGGUUUGGCAAGUCAGGUGUGAAAGCCCGGGGCUCAACCCCGGAAGUGCACUUGAUACUGCCAUUCUUGAGUACGGGAGAGGAGAGUGGAAUUCCCGGUGUAGAGGUGAAAUUCGUAGAUAUCGGGAGGAACACCCGUGGCGAAGGCGACUCUCUGGACCGAUACUGACGCUGAGACCCGAAAGCGUGGGGAGCAAACAGGAUUAGAUACCCUGGUAGUCCACGCCGUAAACGAUGAGAACUAGGUGUAGCGGGUAUUGACCCCUGCUGUGCCGAAGCUAACGCAUUAAGUUCUCCGCCUGGGGAGUACGGCCGCAAGGCUAAAACUUAAAGGAAUUGACGGGG